GCGGGGCUCAGAUACAAUAGGCUGCGCAGUAGGACGUAUGGCUAGGGGCCGGUCGCGAGCGCAGCUCCUCACUGUACUUUGCUGGGCGAAGAAGGCACGCCACGCCCCGUCCGGCUCGUGACGUCACUCCGGCGCCGCUAGGAGCGUUUCCUACUUACCUCGCUCCCGGAUCAUUGUCGGGCUGGUCGCCCGUCCGCCCGGCUUCAGCCACUACCCAAAGGGCUCGAGCGGCCCUGCGGCCCGGAGACCCAGUGCGCGUCGCGAGAGCUCAGGAGCAGCGGACAGUGAGAGGAAAGCUAGCUGAGCAGAGGAAGCACGGCGACGCAGCCACAGUUUUGGAACAGUACGCCCAGCUGGAAUAAUUCAACAUAUCUACUACAGAAAGAAAACAAACCCACUAGAGCCAAGCAGGAAAGCAGUGCCUCCUCUGGCUUUAUCCCGGUUUCAGUGAUAGUCUCUCACAGCUCAGGGCACGGUCAGUGUGCUGAAUAAACAUGAUACAUACGCUGAUAUUCUGGAGUUACUGUGGGAAUAUUUGCCACUCAUGUCACUGCCACUCAUGACACUGCUAGUUUCAGAGAAGAGAUCUGACUCUUGACCGUGGGGUGCCUCAUCAUCUAGAGGAGAAGAACCAGACAGCAUGAAAACUACCUGCAAAUGAGGGUCUACCUUCAGUGGGGUAAGGGAACUACAGUU